rnacentral:rRNA from 1 species
UACCAGCACCCCGAGUGGUCGGGACGUUUAUUGGGCCUAAAGCAUCCGUAGCCGGUUCUACAAGUCUUCCGUUAAAUCCACCUGCUUAACAGAUGGGCUGCGGAAGAUACUAUGGAGCUAGGAGGCGGGAGAGGCAAGCGGUACUCGAUGGGUAGGGGUGAAAUCCGUAAAUAUACGAAGGAACGCCAAAAGCGAAGGCAGCUCUCUGGGUCCCUACCGACGUUGGGGUGCGAAAGCAUGGGGAGCGAACAGG